rnacentral:rRNA from 1 species
GAAUCUUGCGCAAUGGGCGAAAGCCUGACGCAGCAACGCCGCGUGGGGGAUGAAGGCUCUCGGGUUGUAAACCCCUUUCAGCAGGGACGAAUCAAGACGGUACCUGCAGAAGAAGCCCCGGCUAACUACGUGCCAGCAGCCGCGGUAACACGUAGGGGGCAAGCGUUGUCCGGAUUUAUUGGGCGUAAAGAGCUCGUAGGUGGCUGAGUAAGUCGGAUGUUAAAUCCCCAGGCUCAACCUGGGACACCACCCGAUACUGCUCUGGCUAGAGUCCGGUAGGGGAGCGUGGAAUUCCUGGUGUAGCGGUGAAAUGCGCAGAUAUCAGGAGGAACACCAGCGGCGAAGGCGGCGCUCUGGGCCGGUACUGACACUGAGGAGCGAAAGCGUGGGUAGCAAACAGG